rnacentral:rRNA from 1 species
UACGUAGGGGGGCAAGCGUUGUCCGGAAUCAUUGGGCGUAAAGAGCGUGUAGGCGGCCAGAUAAGUCCGCUGUGAAAAUCUCGAGGCUCAACUUCGAGCUGUCGGUGGAAACUGUCUGGCUAGAGUCCGGAAGAGGAGAAUGGAAUUCCUGGUGUAGCGGUGAAAUGCGCAGAUAUCAGGAAGAACACCCGUGGCGAAGGCGGUUCUCUGGGACGGUACUGACGCUGAGACGCGAAAAGCGUGGGGAGCGAACAGG